UAAACAGUGUGGGGAAUCACGUGACCCAAAAUGGUACGGAACACGGAAAUCAACAUGGCGGAUAUUUGACUUUUUUACCAAUUUUCGAAGAAAUGGCCAAACCUAAGAAGAAACCUGGUCUGACACUUGGGAAAAGAAGUGGAUAAAGAAGCAAAACAAGAAUGUCAAUAUUAAAGUAACUUUCCAAUUGCCGCAAUCCGUCAAGAAAUCACCAGCGAGAAAACAAGCAAAAAGGCUGCUUACGCCAUCUAAAUCCACUCUGUACAACGUAUCUCCAGCAAAUAAAAAAUAAAGUGAAUUUGGGCACCUGUCGUUUCCAAAAAAACAUCAGUUUACAAUAACUCCCAGUAAGUCUUCAAUACCACUUUUUGGAUAUGUAGAGGAAAACAAUGAUACCAGAGACGAUGUAGAACACUUCUUAAACACUGAAUUACUGUGUGGAGAAAUGUGAAGAAAUGACAUGUUCGAUACUGCAAGCAGAAUGAGACUUCCUGUGAGAAGAAAACAGGGAACUGUUAGUACAUCAAGGAACGCAGAUUAGAAAGGAGCUCUGUGUAUAAGGUGGGAGAAGGCUAGAACGAAUGAAUCUAAAAUGCUACCGAUGAAGAGGAUGGGACUGGACUGAGAAGUGCAUAUGAACGAGAAAAAAAAAGUUACGAUAUUAUUAUUAUUAUAGAUCUACCAGAUUUAUGUAGCGCCCUUUUCAUGAUCAAGUUCACGUUCAAAGGCGCUUUACAUAGUUCAAAUGCAGCCACACAGGGCGCAUAAUUCAUUGAUCGCGGCCGAUGCCGCGAUCAUAUUGAAUAGGACAAGUAUUUGCACGAUGGGGAAAAUAUUUCAUGAUGGACCUGUCAAUUCUUUACUUAUGGGUGAAACAGGUCUCAUAAGCGUAAAUACGACUUCUACUGAUUAUAAAACAUACCGUACGAUUUGUUGUGAAUCAACUGUUGUUGUACUUUUAGUAGUUCAACCGCCACCCUUGUUUAAGAGCAACAUUUAAAAAACACGUUUUUUUUCAUCCUCAAGUAAUAAGUAAGUAGACUCGCCCAGUUUAAUCAAUCUAGACGCAUAAUCUACAUAGAGCGCUUACUUCACCCGAUUUACAUUCGGAACAUUUUCACGCGUUUCGGGCUUUAUCGUAUGUUAAACAUGGGAUUUUUGAACCGUCCAAAGAUGUUGGAAAUGUUUGUCUCAUUGUUUAUUUUUUUUUAAUAAAAAUGUUACUGCUUUAA